UNGUCUGUGAAAUUCCGGGGCUUAACUUCGGGGUGNCAGGCGAUACGGGCAUAACUAGAGUGCUGUAGGGGAGACUGGAAUUCCUGGUGUAGCGGUGGAAUGCGCAGAUAUCAGGAGGAACACCGAUGGCGAAGGCAGGUCUCUGGGCAGUAACUGACGCUGAGGAGCGAAAGCAUGGGGAGCGAACAGGAUUAGAUACCCUGGUAGUCCAUGCUGUAAACGGUGGGCGUUAGGUGUGGGGACCGGUUUUGGUUUCUGUGCCGUAGCUAACGCAUUAAGCGCCCCGCCUGGGGAGUACGGCCGCAAGGCUAAAACUCAAAGGAAUUGACGGGGGCCCGCACAAGCGGCGGAGCAUGUGGAUUAAUUCGAUGCAACGCGAAGAACCUUACCUGGGUUUGACAUGCACCAGACGGUUGUAGAGAUACGUACCUCCCUUUGUGGUUGGUGUGCAGGUGGUGCAUGGUUGUCGUCAGCUCGUGUCGUGAGAUGUUGGGUUAAGUCCCGCAACGAGCGCAACCCUUGUCUUAUGUUGCCAGCGCUUUGGGUGGGGACUCAUGAGAGACUGCCGGGGUUAACUCGGAGGAAGGUGGGGAUGACGUCAAAUCAUCAUGCCCUUUAUGCCCAGGGCUUCACACAUGCUACAAUGGUUAGUACAACGCGCGGCAAACCUGUGAGGGUGAGCGAAUCGCUGAAAGCUAAUCUCAGUUCGGAUUGGGGCCUGCAACUCGACCCCAUGAAGUCGGAGUCGCUAGUAAUCGCAGAUCAGCAAUGCUGCGGUGAAUACGUUCCCGGGCCUUGUACACACCGCCCGUCACGUCAUGAAAGUUGGUAACACCCGAAGCCCAUGGCCUAACCACCGUUUGGU
rnacentral:rRNA from 1 species